GGGAGAUUUCCGGAGCCUCAGGGAGGAAAUCAGGGAGAUUCCCAGAAAUUCCCAGAAAUUUUUCCUGUUCCUUUUCCAGUUCCACACCCCUGGCACUUACGUGCUCCAGCUGAGCAGCAAUAAGCACAAAAGAAUGUACCUCAGGGCGAUGCCGGCAGGGACGCGGUGCUAUCAGGAAGGUCCUUUCCUGCCCAGCAGCCCCCGGUUUGCCGUGCAGGUGGGGAUUGGAGGCAGGAGGGAACUGCUGCUCAGCCCGGACCGGGCAGCGCUCGCCGCCCUGGUCUCUGCGCUGCUGCUGCUGCUGGCCGCCUCCCUGGCCUGGGCCCUCCUGUGCCAGGGCCUGGGCUGGGCACAGAGGGGCAGCCCCCUCCCCACGUUCCGCAGGCAGCAGCUCAAGUACAACCUGGACAGAUAUUCCUCCAAAAUUCCAGCUGUUUUCUCCGUGAAAAAACCUCACCCCUCUCUGCAGAACGAGGCUGGGACAGGUCAGGCAACAAAAACCCCAAAAAACCCCAAAAACCCCAAAAAACCCUAAAAAACCCCUAAAAAAACCCUAAAAAAACCCUAAUGCCCCCCAAAACCAGCAGGGUUCUGCCCAGAACAGAACGCAAAUUCUGUGCUCAGGCUGCUGAAUUCUGUGUUCAGAAC
rnacentral:lncRNA from 12 species